AUACUUACUUGGCAGGGGAGAUACCAUGAUCAUGAAGGUGGUUUUUCCAGGGUGAGGCUCAUUCAUUGCAAUCCGAUGUGCUGACCCCUGUGAUUUCCCCAAAUGUGGGAAACUCGAUUGCAUAAUUUGUGGUAGAGGGGACUGAAAAAAAAAAAUUAACACACCAUCACCCCAC
rnacentral:snRNA from 1 species